ensembl:lncRNA
GCUAGUGGAGCCUGGGGGAUGCUAGUGGAGGCUAGGAGAAAGCGAAGGGACUGGGAGAGGCUAGUGGAGGUUGAUGGAGGCUAGGGGAGACUAAUGGAGGCUAGUGGAGGCUAGGGGAGGCUAAGGGAGACUAGUGGAGGCUAGGAGAGGCUAGGGGAUGCUAGUGGAGGCUAGUGGAGGCUAUGAGAGACUAGUGGAGGCUGGGGAAUGCUAGUGGAGGCUCGGAGAGACUAGGAGAGACUAGUGGAGGCUGGGGGAUGUUAG